UACGUAGGGUCCGAGCGUUGUCCGGAAUUAUUGGGCGUAAAGGGCUCGUAGGCGGUUUGUCACGUCGGGAGUGAAAUUCCACAGCUUAACUGUGGAAUUGCUUCCGAUACGGGCAGACUUGAGGUAUUCAGGGGAGAACGGAAUUCCUGGUGUAGCGGUGAAAUGCGCAGAUAUCAGGAGGAACACCAAUGGCGAAGGCAGAUCUCUGGGCCGUAACUGACGCUGAGGAGCGAAAGCAUGGGGAGCGAACAGG
rnacentral:rRNA from 1 species